CUUAGUUCUUCCUUAUAAAAUUUUCCUUUAGAUUUUUUUUUAUAAGUUAAUUUUUCCUUCUGUAGUUUGUUUUUUUGGUUUAGAUUACCGAGAAAGGUAGCGUUUACAGGGUUUUUUAAAUAGAUCAAGAUGUUAGAGCAGUUGCUGAUAUUCACUAGGGGGGGUUUGAUCCUAUGGACUUGUAAGGAGCUUGGAAAUGCACUUAGAGGCUCUCCUAUUGACACUUUAAUCAGAUCCUGUCUUUUAGAGGAACGAUCAGGUGCGGCAUCUUAUAAUUAUGAUGCUCCAGGUGCUGCUUACACCCUCAAGUGGACCUUCCACAAUGAGCUUGGCCUUGUAUUCGUUGCGGUGUAUCAAAGGAUUCUUCAUUUAUUGUAUGUGGAUGAUUUGCUUGCAAUGGUGAAGCAAGGGUUUUCUGAG
rnacentral:misc_RNA from 1 species